GUAAUUGUCUCAAAGACAGAUUUGAGAGUCUGGUUCAUUUUUUUGUUAUAAAUUUCUUUCAUUCGAGUUUGGUCAGUUUUUCAAUCAUUAAAAUGUAAUAAAUACCGUGUGAUAUUAAGAAUGUAACUCUUUGGGUUGUUAAAUGCUGAGUUUAAUGGGUCACGUGAUCUGAGUUUAAUUGAGAGAGGGAAUGUUGAAUUGUGGGUAAGGUGUUAUGGAUGCAGAGGAAGGACGUGCAGCAACGAAGCACAACUUCUGAAGCGACAUUUUCUGCAUAAGGUUCAAAGGGCACACACGGAAAUUCUUGCUGCAGCAAUGAAGGGGUCCCAGUGAGCCAGAGCCUAACCAAGUAACACAAGGCAGAAGGCUGGAG
rnacentral:lncRNA from 1 species